rnacentral:lncRNA from 1 species
AAUGUUUUCAAUGCUAUUGAUAUUUUUAACUUGUGCUAAAUAUUUACGAACAAAUGUAUUACAUUUUUUUGCAAAAAAUGUUUUCUUCUAUGUUUUAACAAUAAUAAUGCAGUAUCCCUGCCAUUCUCAUGACAAUAGAAAGGUAAGAUUGUAUCUGUGUUUGUGUGUUACUGUAUGUAGCAUUUACUGUUUCUAUUGGAUGAUGAGAUAUAUGAUCAUCAUAAAUUGAAAACUGUGCUUGAUUAUUAGUGAAGUAUAAACAUUUAAUCCACUGGAUUUUUGCUUUGGACAGACUCCAUUUGGACUCAACAUGUGCUAUAUUGAACUCCACUCAAGCAGUUAUUCUAUAUGUUUAUUUACUGUUUUAAUAUUUUAUUAAACUUUAGAAUUAUUCCAAAUAAUAAAAAAUUUAAAGUGAAUACAUUGCUAUACAUUUAUUUUGUUAUAU